rnacentral:rRNA from 1 species
CAACCCUUAAGCUUAGUUGCCAUCAUUAAGUUGGGCACUCUAAGUUGACUGCCGGUGACAAACCGGAGGAAGGUGGGGAUGACGUCAAAUCAUCAUGCCCCUUAUGAUUUGGGCUACACACGUGCUACAAUGGACAAUACAAAGGGCAGCGAAACCGCGAGGUCAAGCAAAUCCCAUAAAGUUGUUCUCAGUUCGGAUUGUAGUCUGCAACUCGACUACAUGAAGCUGGAAUCGCUAGUAAUCGUAGAUCAGCAUGCUACGGUGAAUACGUUCCCGGGUCUUGUACACACCGCCCGUCACACCACGAGAGUUUGUAACACCCGAAGCCGGUGGAGUAACCUUUUAGGAGCUAGCCGUCGAAGGUGGGACAAAUGAUUGGGGUGAAGUCGUAACAAGGUAGCCGUAUCGGAAGGUGCGGCUGGAUCACCUC